rnacentral:rRNA from 1 species
UACGAAGGGGGCUAGCGUUGCUCGGAAUUACUGGGCGUAAAGGGCGCGUAGGCGGCACUGUUAGUCAGGCGUGAAAGUCCUGGGCUCAACCUGGGAACUGCGCUUGAUACGGCAGAGCUAGAGGAUGGAAGAGGGUCGCGGAAUUCCCAGUGUAGAGGUGAAAUUCGUAGAUAUUGGGAAGAACACCUGCGGCGAAGGCGGGUUGCUGGGCUGACACUGACGCUGAGGCGCGAAAGCUAGGGGAGCGAACGGGG